AAACUACGUUAAACGGUGUGAAUUGCAGAACACGCAGAACACUGGAAUUUUGAACGCACAUGGCAGGUUAGUGUUAUAACUAACCUUUGUCUGUGUGAGGGUUGUAUUCAGAGAAUCAAGGCUAAUUUUUGAAGAGCGGUGAGGUUGCCUAUUAAAUGUGUGACAUGCCCGCUGAUCGAAUUAAAAACACACUUGUGUUGCGCCUCUGGCCAGCGUCGGAGGAUAACGGCAACUGGACGAGUGUAUCUUUCUCUUUCUCACAACCUCACAUCAGGCAAGAUUACCCGCUUAAUUUAA
rnacentral:misc_RNA from 1 species